GUAGUGAGGAUGAGCCAGGAUCUUGGCCUUGAUAGAAGAGCUGCCAUCGUUGUUCCACUCCAUGAAAUAACAUCCAGUAUUGCUGUUGAUGAUGUUUGUUGCUGGUGUUGUGAUGAUCGUCCAUUAUCAUAGGAGAACCACUGCUGCUAUUGUGGUUCUGGUCUUGAUUGUUAGAGUGAGGUAGAGGAAGAAAUAAGGAUCCUGAUGAAUCUGUAUUAUGAUGAUGAUGGUGAUGAGAAGUCAUGGGAUGAUGCAACAUCGACAUAGGACACAACACAUUACCAUUGUGUCCAAAAGCCAUCAUGCAAGAAGUGCU